rnacentral:rRNA from 1 species
UACGUAGGGGGCUAGCGUUGUCCGGAUUUAUUGGGCGUAAAGAGCGUGUAGGCGGCCAGGCAGGUCUGCUGUGAAAACUCGAGGCUCAACCUCGAGAUGUCGGCGGAAACCAUCUGGCUAGAGUCCGGAAGAGGAGAGUGGAAUUCCUGGUGUAGCGGUGAAAUGCGCAGAUAUCAGGAAGAACACCCGUGGCGAAGGCGGCUCUCUGGGACGGUACUGACGCUGAGACGCGAAAGCGUGGGGAGCGAACAGG